UUUUAAGCUUAGUUGGAAGCCUGAGAUAUUUAGCUUGUACAAGGCCGGAUAUAUUAUUUGGAGUGGGACUGGUUAGUCGUUAUUUGGAGGCUCCAAAGACAACACAUUUGAAAGUUGCAAAGAGAAUUUUACGUUACAUCAAAGGUACUCUUAAUUUCGGGUUACAUUAUUAUGCCUCUAAUGUUUUUAGACUUAGAGGUUUCCGUUGAUUGGGGUGACGACAUUGAUGAUCGAAAGAGUACCAGUGGAUUUGUAUUUUACAUGGGUAACACAGCUUUAACUUGGAGCUCAAAGAAGCAACAAAUUGUUACUCUGUCAACUUGUGAAGUUGAGUAUGUUGCUGUCAGUUCUUGUGUUACACAAGCAGUUUGGCUAAGGAAUUUGUUGAAUGAGCUUAAUUUUGCACAAAGAGAGCCUAUCGAAUUAAGUGUGGAUAACAAAUCAGCCAUUGCUUUAGCAAAGAAUCCGUUGUUUCAUGAACGUAGCAAGCAUAUAGGUACCAAAUAUCACUUUGUGCGUGAAUGCAUUGCAAACAAGGUAGUGAAGAUUAAUUUUGCUCAAGUUCAAUACUUUUAAGGCAUUAAGAAGCUUGCUUGGAGUAUGCAAAAUUCAUGUUUAAGGGGGGGUCUUUGAAAAAUAAACAUGCAUUUAACCUAUUUAAUUUAGUUUCAUGAAUUUAGGAGUUUGAAAUACAUUUAUUAUUAAUUAAUAUGCACCUAGUUAAUUGUGGUUCAUGUAUGCAUGUAUUAUUAAUUAAUGUGUACCUAGUAAAUUGUGAUGCAUGUAGUAGGAUUAAAUUGAGGGGAUGAACUUAUGUGAUAGGAAGUCCUAUAAAUAUCUAUGUAAUCUUGAGUUGAAGGCAAGUCCACAAUUGAGUAGAAAAUUAUUUUCUCCUAAG
rnacentral:lncRNA from 1 species